CUCAGGACGAACGCUGGCGGCGUGCCUAAUACAUGCAAGUCGAACGCUUCUUUUCCGCCGAACUUCGGUUCAUUGGAAAAGAGGAGUGGCGAACGGGUGAGUAACACGUGGGUAACCUGCCCAUCAGAGGGGGAUAACACUUGGAAACAGGUGCUAAUACCGCAUAACGCUUUUUCUCGCAUGAGAGAAAGCUGAAAGGCGCUUUUGCGUCACUGAUGGAUGGACCCGCGGUGCAUUAGCUAGUUGGUGAGGUAACGGCUCACCAAGGCAACGAUGCAUAGCCGACCUGAGAGGGUGAUCGGCCACACUGGGACUGAGACACGGCCCAGACUCCUACGGGAGGCAGCAGUAGGGAAUCUUCGGCAAUGGACGAAAGUCUGACCGAGCAACGCCGCGUGAGUGAAGAAGGUUUUCGGAUCGUAAAACUCUGUUGUUAGAGAAGAACAAGGAUGAGAAGAGAAUGUUCAUCCCUUGACGGUAUCUAACCAGAAAGCCACGGCUAACUACGUGCCAGCAGCCGCGGUAAUACGUAGGUGGCAAGCGUUGUCCGGAUUUAUUGGGCGUAAAGCGAGCGCAGGCGGUUUCUUAAGUCUGAUGUGAAAGCCCCCGGCUCAACCGGGGAGGGUCAUUGGAAACUGGGAGACUUGAGUGCAGAAGAGGAGAGUGGAAUUCCAUGUGUAGCGGUGAAAUGCGUAGAUAUAUGGAGGAACACCAGUGGCGAAGGCGGCUCUCUGGUCUGUAACUGACGCUGAGGCUCGAAAGCGUGGGGAGCGAACAGGAUUAGAUACCCUGGUAGUCCACGCCGUAAACGAUGAGUGCUAAGUGUUGGAGGGUUUCCGCCCUUCAGUGCUGCAGCAAACGCAUUAAGCACUCCGCCUGGGGAG
rnacentral:rRNA from 1 species